CUCUAAUAUUUUUUCUAGAUUAUAUAUUUUAAGGAAUAUAUACAAUGAAAUAUUAGAUAUUAAAGAGAUUUGUUCCUUCCUAAUUAAGGUAAAAAAGAAUCAAUAUAAUUUGUAUUAGUAAAAGAAAUUUGAAUAUACGAAUUAUAU
rnacentral:ncRNA from 1 species